CCCCCUGCCCCCCCAGAUUCUCAACCACUGUCAAAAGAUGAAGUUGUACUCCACCAUUGACAGACUGGACUUUCAGACUGGUCGUUGGUCCUGUCACGUGACCAGAGGAAAGCCACCUCCUCCUAGGACCUGAAGGAUACUUCUGUACCAUCAGAAACAAUGACAUCUUUUAUAUGGGUGGCUACUGUGGACAUGGCGUCUGCUAUCAUAAUGAUGUCAACUCAAGAGUAGAUAAUAAUCUACUCUUGGUAAAAUGACAGAAGAUAAUUAAUGCAAUCAAUAAAUCAUCACAAGAAGCUAUACUCUUCAAAACUCAAUAUAAACUGCUAUCGAGACUUCAAUUGGCUUUUAGGUUUGUACUAAUUUUUGGAGCCAUUUUUAUAAAAAAACCAUGGACUUCAAUAAAAAGUUAAUUUGCUUGAUACAGGGUAUAUAGGACAAGCUCUAAACUACCACAGCUUUGGAAUAAGCUAGUAUAGGCCUGGUAGAUUUCUCCUUGCCCUCCAUUAAAAGAAGAUUAGAUGAUCUGAUGUGGCAGACUAAGUUUGACUUCAUAAUAAUUUAUAUUUUUUUGUAUUCAUGUAGCAGCUUAGCUAAUGCAUGUCAUGUCAAGUUGUGAAGUUUUCCUAUUUUGUGUCAAAGAAUUUUUCUUUGUCACAAUCAUUAAUUGUCACUAUACUCCUACUACUGUCACCUGUUGCUGUGAAAUGCGUGAAUUGUGACACCUAAUGUGGCAUAAACUAUUGUCACUUCAUUUGUUAGUAAUACACGUACCAGUAUGUCUUUAACACAGUAAUUUCUCAAAAGUUUGCACUCUCAAAUUUUAAAAUAUGAUGAAUUUUUUACUGAAAUCACUGAAGGCUGGUUUAAGAUGCAUUAAUUUCUUAUU